rnacentral:lncRNA from 1 species
GCAACUGCUCAAGCUCCACUCCAGACCUACUGAUUCUGCAACUGUGGAGCUGAACCAGUGACCUAUGUUUUAAUAAGCCUUCCAGGUAAUGUUAAUACUUGCUCAUGUUAGAGAAUCACUGGUUUAGAGAAAACUAGUAAUUGUUCCAUAAAUUUAGUUUAAAGAAGGAGAAAGAAGCCUGUCCUUUAGCCAAGUUUAAAAAAAAAAAGGCUGAUUACAGAGGAAAUUUUGAGAGCAUCUAAGGUUAAAAAAAAAAAAGUUUAGCUUGGCUGGAGGCCUGGCAGAACAGUCGUUGUGGAGAAACCAGUGCUUCACAGAGAGAACCGCAAACACUAAACUGGAUAGCUGCUGUCUGCCACUCAGGAGCAAGUGCAGACUAGAGACUUAUGGAGGUCUCCAGUAUCCUUCUCUGAGAUACCAAUCCUUAACCCAAGAAAUCCAAGGCCAAUAGCUAAGUAUAAAAGUUAUUCUCUGAGAGUGAGAAUACCUAGAUUAGGGAUAAUGGAUAAUAAAGCUGUAUGAGGCCAGGCGUGGUGGCGGGCACAGUGGCUCAUGCCUGUAAUCCUAGCACUUUGGGAGGCCAGGGUGGGCAGAUCACCUGAGGUCAGGAGUUUUGAGACCAGCCUGGCUAAGAAGGUGAAACCGUUCCUACUCAAAAUACAGAAAUUAUCCAGGCAUGGUGCGUGACUGUAGUCCCAGCUACUCAGGAGGCUGAGACAGGAGAGUCCCGUGAAUCGGGGAGGUGGAGGUUGCAGUGAGCCGAGAUCGCCCUACUGCACUCCAGCCUGGGAGACGGAACCAGACUCCGUCUCAAAAAAAAAAAAAAAAAAAAAAUCUGUAUGAUACAAUUUUUGCAAAAACUUGUGUCUAUUUCUUUUAACUUUUUAAAAUGUGGCUACUAGAAAAUGUAACCUAUGUAGCUCACAUUCGUGACCUGUAUUAUAUUUCUUUUCACACUGAUCUGUAAGGCACAUAUAAAAUGGAGGGUGGGUAGGAGAAAAAAACUGACCAUUUUUCCUCCAGGUCUGAACAGGGCAGUGGGUGUUCAGAACC